rnacentral:rRNA from 1 species
GACGAACGCUGGCGGCGUGCCUAAUACAUGCAAGUAGGACGCAGUUGCGAACGGGUGAGUAACGCGUAGGCAACUGCCUAUUAGAGGGGGAUAACUAUUGGACACGAUAGCUAAUACCGCAUACUAGUAGAUGGACCUGCGUUGGAUUUGCUAGUAGGGAGGGUAAUGGGCUACCUAGGCGACGAUACAUAGCCGACCUUAGAGGGUGGACGGGCCAACCGGGAAUUGUGCACGGCCCAGACUCCUAAGGCUAGCAGGAGUAGGUGAUCUUCGGCAAUGGGGGUAACCCGUGACGAGCAAAGCCGCGGGAGUGGAGAAGGGUUUCGGGUCGUAAAGCUCUGUUGUUAAGGAAGCGGUACUUAACCAGAAAGGGACGGCUAACUACGUGCCAGCAGCCGCGGUAAUAC